CAUGAAGUCGGAAUCGCUAGUAAUCGCGGAUCAGCAUGCCGCGAUGAAUACGUUCCCGGGCCUUGUACACACCGCCCGUCACACCAUGAGAGUCGGGAACACCCGAAGUCCGUAGCCUAACCGCAAGGGGGCGCGGCCGAAGGUGGGUUCGAUAAUUGGGGUGAAGUCGUAACAAGGUACC
rnacentral:rRNA from 1 species